rnacentral:rRNA from 1 species
GGCUCCGCUGAACGGUCUGCCCUCCCGGGUAUGCACUGUUCUGGCGGGGUUCUCCCUUCUGGCGAGGCGGCAUGCUCUUCACCGGGUGUGUCGCGGAGCCAGGACUUUUACUUUGAAAAAAUUAGAGUGUUUAAAGCAGGCUAACGCCUGGAUACAUUAGCAUGGAAUAAUGAAAUAGGACGAGCGAUCCUAUUUUGUUGGUUUCUAGGAUUGACGUA